GCCGCGCGCAGCCGGCACAUGCGAGCAGCCAGCAGCUCCGUAUCCGUCCACCUUAUUCUUUCAUUUUUUUUUUCUCCACUAAUGGCUGCUGGGACCCACAAUCAUCUUCUACCUCUGCGUGGAGUCUGUUUCGCGUACGAGUUGGUACCGGCUGCGAAAUAUCCCAGUUUUCUCGCUCGAUUCCGCUCAGAUUUCUUUGCCCCCUUGCCACGAAAAUCCCUCUAUAAAUACCGCAUAAACUCCUCCGUUUUUGCUUCUUAAAAUCCCUAAAUUUUGCGCCGCCAGGCUGCGCGAAUUUCUCGCCGGAGUUCCGAUCUGCCGCCGCCAUUGAAGCUCAGAACCGGAGUGCACGGAAACGCUUGGGAGAGGUCGCCGGAGCUUUCGCCGGAGUUCACCAUCGUCCGGAGCUCCAUCCGCCCGUAGCUGCCACCCGAGAGAGAGGGACACGACGGGAGAGACAUUACUGUGACCGCUGUUGUCUGCUGCAUCUCGUCGUCCGAGUCUCCAUCGCCAAGGACUACCAGAGACGCCGGGACGACGUCGCCGUCCACGCCUGACCACCACGCCGUCUGGUUCAUCCAAAUCGACCAUCACCAGCAGCAGCAGGAUUGCCCGGAUUGCAACGAGUGUGAUUGCGACGACUGUCUGAACACCGACCAAGGC